UCAAGUAGUCUCUAUAGAUUCCAAAUAACAAUUCUUAUAUACUAAGUACCACUUACUUAGUUUAUCAUCAUUGGCAAAAUAAACUAAGUAGCAUUUGCUUAGUUUGCCACAAUUUUCAAUAAACUUAGAAACCCGUUUGACAUUCACUCAGUAGGAGGGAAUGUCGAACAGUCCCCAGUUUGGGACUGUUAUUGGAUGUUACGUCUCUCACUUAGGCCGGUGCCAAUAUGAAAUAGUACAUUUUUGUUAUUUUGAGGAUUUUUUGACUGUUAUCUCUAUAUGUUCUGCGAG
rnacentral:lncRNA from 1 species